UACCAGCACCCCGAGCGGUCGGGACGUUUAUUGGGCCUAAAGCAUCCGUAGCCGGUUCUACAAGUCUUCCGUUAAAUCCAACUGCUUAACAGGUGGGCUGCGGAAGAUACUAUAGAGCUAGGAGGCGGGAGAGGCAAGCGGUACUCGAUGGGUAGGGGUAAAAUCCGUUGAUCCAUUGAAGACCACCAGUGGCGAAGGCGGCUUGCCAGAACACGCUCGACGGUGAGGGAUGAAAGCUGGGGGAGCAAACCGG
rnacentral:rRNA from 1 species